GUUAUAGCUGCCUUGAAAAAAGACACACAAAAUGCAUGUUUUCAUUAGGUAGUAUUGCUUUUAUUUGUGAACCGAUUGGAUCAAUUUUAUCUGCCUUUUUAUCGGGUGAGUUUUGAAAUUCCAUAGUUGAAUAGCAAAAGUGACUCAUAAGAGCCAAAAGCGGCACUUUUUGAGAAAAAUACGAUUUUUUCCGACUUUUUUCAAUUAACAGACCCAUUAGGUCGGAAGCGGUCUAUGAUUCUUGUGAAUAUUCCAAUCGCGAUCGCAUGGCUGUUGAUGUACAAUUCAAGCAGUGUGAUUGAAAUUUUUAUCGGAACGUGUUUAAUGACUUGGAGUUGAUUCGUUCUUUUCUUUCGAUUCAAUUUGAAUUCUCAGUUAUCGUUUCAAUCAUGAAUAUUUUUCAACAUUUGAAAACAUAUUGAUUUCUUUUACUAGGCCUAAUGGAAAGUCCGAUAAUAACAUAUGUUGGUGAGAUUUGGGUAGUAUUUAGCUCGAAUACCUUCAAACCCAAUUGAAAUCAAAACUAAUUCAAUUGAAUUUCGAAUUCAUUUUAUUAUGCAAAAGAAAUCAUUUUGUGAAAAAGUUAAUCUUCGACAAAUUGUGAUCCACUCAUUCCUACUUUGCCUUACUCACCACUCGUUACCAUUUUCAAUUGUUUUUUUGUUUGUAUUUGUGUUACAAACGGUUGCAUCGUUAUUUUUGGGCGUUACGCGGUUGUUUAAAUUGACAAAGAUUCUUACGUUUUAUUCAAACCAUGUCUCGAAUGAGAACUAACUUAAAACAUCAUACUUUGCAAGCCUUGGCGAUUAGUUGCAUUAGUUUGUAUGUACCAAUUUUAACCAUUAUUGCGCUAUGUUUCAUUCCCGAAAGUCCAGCCUGGCUCCAAAGAAUCGAACAGCUGACGCCGAAUCUUCGCUCGCCUGGCUCCGUGGCUGGGUCCAAAAAGAAACGGUGCAUCAAGAGCUACUUGAACUACAGCGUUAUAGUGAACAAUCAAAGUCGUGUAGUGCGUGCAUCAAAUUGGAUCAAAAAUGUACACAUCAUCCGACAUUUAUGGACAAAUUGAAGGAAUUAAAGCGUAAAAAAACCCUCAAGCCAUUCUUCAUUGUGAUGUCGUUGUUUUUCAUCGCGGAAUUCACCGGUAUAACUGAUCAAGCAGCAGCUAUGCAAGGCUUUGUGAACAACCUAGCGAAUAUUGCAUUUUUGUGUUUGAUUCGAUUCACCGGCAAGCGAAAAUUAUACAUGCCAAUGUUGAUCAUUGUAUUUUUAUGUUCGGCAACCGUCUCAAUAUAUGGCUUUGUAUUUUUCCCAAGCGGCUAUAAUUCGUUUCAUAAUGAAGAAGUCGUUUUACAAGCGGAUUCAAAUUUCCGAUACAUUCCAUUUUUUUGCAUUUUUUUCUGCAGUUACUGCGGCGUGAAUUCGCUUCCAUGGCAAAUGUUAUCCGAAGUUUAUCCUUUCAAAGCUCGAGAAGCAGCAGCCGGUUUGUCAGCAACGCUUGAUUAUUUGAUCACUUUUAUAAGCACAAAAACAUAUUAUGAUCUGGAAAUAUCAUUGUCAAUACAAGGAAUAUCGCUGCUUUAUUGCGUUAUUGCCGCAUUCGGAGUCGUAUUGAUGUACAAAAUUAUGCCAGAAACUGAAAAUCGAACGCUCGACGACAUUGAAUUUCAUUUUUGCGACAAUUCAAAAAAAUUAACCGAUCGAAAAAUUGCAAAAAUUGCAUGUUUACCUCGAAACUCGGAAAUUGGAGUGGAGAAUGGGCUCGAAAAUACACAAAACGGCUGUGAUAAUCGGAGUUUCGUUAAAGAUGCUUAAAUGCGCUUUAAAAUUGUAUUUUUAAAUGUAGACAAUUGUUCGUUUUUCGAAGUGUACAAAUAGAGUAUUUCGAGAGAAAAAAGCUUGAAUCAUUCGUCACAAAAACAUUGGUGUUUUAUUUUGAUGCGAUGACUGUUUAUGACCUUUUUUGCGACUCUGAAAACGGACAAAACAAAAUCAAAGAGAUCUUUUGCACUUCAACUGUCUCUCUCCCUCUCCAGAACUGAUAUGCCUCUUGUCCAGAACCUAUUGUGAUUGCAUUUGAAAAUACAUCCCAAUCGUAACCAGAACAACAUCUUCGACUAUCGUGAAUGAAAAGAAGAAAAAAAAACUUUGCACAAUGACGGAGUAGUGAGAGGAAAAAAAUCAACAUAC